rnacentral:rRNA from 1 species
UCCCCUAGUAACUGCGAGUGAAGCGGGAAAAGCUCAAAUUUAAAAUCUGGCAGCUUCGCUGUCCGAGUUGUAAUUUAGAGAAGUGUUACCCGUGCUGGACCGUGUACAAGUCUCCUGGAAUGGAGCGUCAUAGAGGGUGAGAAUCCCGUCUUUGACACGGACUACCAGUACAUUGUGGUGCGCUCUCGAAGAGUCGAGUUGUUUGGGAAUGCAGCUCAAAAUUGGGUGGUAAAUUCCAUCUAAAGCUAAAUAUUGGGGAGAGACCGAUAGCGAAACAAGUACCCGUGAGGGAAAGAUGAAAAGAACUUUGGAAAAAAGAGUUAAACAGUACGUGAAAUUGCUGAAAGGGAAACCGCUUGAAGUCAGUCGCGUUGUGCGGGAUUCAGCCUGGCUUUUGCUUGGUGUACUUCCUGUAUGACGGGUCAGCAUCAGUUUUGACCGGUGGAUAAGGAUACAGGAAAUGUGGCAUCUUCGGAUGUGUUAUAGUCUUGUGUCGCAUACAUCGGUUGGGACUGAGGAACUCAGCACGCCGAAAGGCCGGGUUUUUAACCACGUUCGUGCUUAGGAUGCUGGCAUAAUGGCUUUAAUCGACCCGUCUUGAAACACGGACCAAGGAGUCUAACAUGCCUGCGAGUGUUUGGGUGAAAAACCCGAGCGCGUAAUGAAAGUGAAAGUUGAGAUCCCUGUCGUGGGGAGCAUCGACGCCCGGAGCAGACCUUUUGUGACGCAUCCGCGGUAGAGCAUGUAUGUUGGGACCCGAAAGAUGGUGAACUAUGCCUGAAUAGGGUGAAGCCAGAGGAAACUCUGGUGGAGGCUCGUAGCGAUUCUGACGUGCAAAUCGAUCGUCGAAUUUGGGUAUAGGGGGCGAAAGACUAAUCGAACCAUUUGUGUGCUACUUGGUGGCUUAAGAGGCAGCUGGAAAGGCUUGCCUAGUGAUAAGUUUGAGGAAUUGCGACAUCGUCAAAUUGCGGGGGACGUCCUUAGAGCCUUUGCUACCCGCCUCUACAUUGAAAGAUGGUAGCAGUGCACCAGGGUAAUUGACCUCGGGUAUGGUAAUAACGCAAAGGAUUGGAUAAUCUGCAGCCAAGUCCUAAGGGCGCAAGCCUAUGGAUCCUGUUCACAGACUAAAUGGCGAUGGGUUGCUUGAAAGAGCAGCUUAAGAUAUAGUCGGUCCCGUCGUGAAAGCGAACUGGCAGAAUGAAGGCUUGUAUCCUCCUCAACAUUAAGUGAUGCUUGCCCCGUAGUCUGCUGGGAGGUCAGUGGUAAACACUGA